UGUCGUAACCAAGGUCUCCGUUGGUGAACCAGCGGAGGGAUCAUUAUCGAGUUAUCCAACUCCCAACCCUUGCGAAUCGUACCCCGUUCUGUUCUCGUUGCUUCUGGCGGGAGGCGGACUGGGUGGCGGGCAAGGCUGGCUUCGGCCGGCCCUGCUCUGCUGCCCGGGCCUCCCCCGGUCCUCCCUCUGGCCCUCGGGCCAGGGACGAGGCGCCCGCCAGCGGUCAGCGAGCCACUCUGAACUCUUAUAAACCGUUUUAGUUACUGUCUGAGAAACAAAACAAAAAUAGCCAAAACUUUCAACAACGGAUCUCUUGGCUCUGGCAUCGAUGAAGAACGCAGCGAAAUGCGAUACGUAAUGCGAAUUGCAGAAUUCAGCGAGUCAUCGAAUCUUUGAACGCACAUUGCGCCCGCCAGCAUUCUGGCGGGCAUGCCUGUUCGAGCGUCAUUUCCCCCCUCAGCACGCCUUCGGCGCGCUGGCGUUGGGGCUCCUCCGCCCUCUGUGGCGGCAGGGCCCUCAAAUCCAGUGGCGGGCCCGACUGGUUGGCUCCGAGCGCAGUACCGAACGCAAGUUCUCUUCUCGCUCUGCAGCCCCGGCCGGUGCCCAGCCGUCAAGCCUGCGAGUGGCCUCACAGCCGCCCGCUAUCUUUUAUAAGGUUGACCUCGAAUCAGGUAGGACUACCCGCUGACUUA
rnacentral:rRNA from 1 species